AGGAUACUAAAGUAUGGUUAGAUCUAUGAAGACUAACCUAUAUACAUUUUUUUCAGCUUUUCGUAUUGCAUAUAUAUAUGUACACACGCAUAUAUUCUCCUUGUAAGAAUAAAUAGCAACCCAUUUAGUUAUUUACUCUAUUAAAAUACUUUGCAUUCCUUUUGGUUGAUGCAGGACCUUACGCCUGAAGCGUAUUGCCUUCUCAAUUCAGUGUCUUUCUGAUGCAGAAAUCCUCCAUCAAUGUUCUACUUCACCUUUAGCUGAGGGUCCAGAUUUUGUGGAUAAUAUGAGACGGAAAGCUAUUGAACAAAUGUCAAUUAUGCUGUAUCCAGUGGGUUAGUUCUCUUCUUCUAGUAGUAUUUAAUGCCUCCUUGCAGUGAAGUUUAUCAUCUCUGCAUGUGGACCAAAUAUCCUAGAACUUUUUAACUCAUCAAUUUUGUUUGAAUUAUUAUAGUGAAAUAUUCAGUGAUUUAGAAUAAGGAAGAAAUUUUAUUUUUUCUGAAGUUUGGAAUUGAGUGUUGAGAGAUGAUACAUGGAGAAAACAUCCUGGAUACUUUUUUGCAUUUGUUGUGGCAUGUGGUAAUUAUGGCGUCCUUCUGUACUUGGUGAAGAAUUGCAGGGCACAUUUCAUAUCAAUAAUUAGUAUUUAGAGAUAGCGAGUUAUUGUUUUAUUUUCUGUAUUCUCAGGAUAUGGGACUAUGUGCUGAAAUAUCCAGACUGGAACAUAACAUUUUCUCGGAAGCAACCACGUAUUUUUGAAAGAACCAAGGGUGGAGACUGGAAAAGGUGCUGAUUAUUGCCAGAGAAACUGUUUGUGCAAAAGCUCUAUGCCAUGGUUAUUUCAGGUGACAGAUUCCUGUCCAAGAAACAAAAUUCUUUGUCCGGAUGGAUCAAUUGACUAAUCUGGGUCAUCUUCUCUGUUUGCUGGUUAAGUAUUGCUCUCAAAUUGUGGUUACAUGUAAAUUGAUUAACAAUUAAUGACCUAUCUCUGGAGGCGUAAAAGGAACAAAAUUCGUGACUUCCUUCAUGUAGCCCCCUUGUAUCAUGUCAAGGAGUUCCUUAUGUUGGUUAACAUUUUAGCGGUAUGUGUCGUGCCAAGCUGUAUGUUGCAUUUCUUCAAGCGUGGUUGUUUUGUACAAGAACCCAAGACUCGGAGUUUCACCUCAUUAGUGAAUGUUUCUUGUGUAGUGACUGUGUAUAUACCAAGUUUCUUUCUUUAUAUGAAUGAGCGUGACAGAAUUGCAGCCUCAAAGCUUCAAGGAACUCAAACUAAAGGUCUGUUGCCACUGACCAACCCUUUACUGUGAAUGAGGGUUCUGUCAAUUUCAGUAAACCAUUUGGACCAGUCCGUCGUCAACCACGAUGAACGAAGAAGCUGUGCUAUGAAUACAGAUUGAUUAUUCUUCGCAAAAAAUAUAGAACGAAUUAUUCUUUUAUCUUUCACGAUAAAGUAUGUUUAUUUCUCAUUUGAAGGAGGAGUUUGAAUCUUUGAUCCAA